rnacentral:rRNA from 1 species
AACGAACGCUGGCGGCAGGCUUAACACAUGCAAGUCGAACGCAUCGCAAGAUGAGUGGCAGACGGGUGAGUAACGCGUGGGAACAUACCCUUUUCUACGGAAUAGCUGUGGGAAACUGGAAUUAAUGCCGUAUACGCCCUACGGGGGAAAGAUUUAUGGGGGGAGGAUUGGCCCUCGUUGGAUUAGCUAGUUGGUGGGGUUAAGGCCUACCAAGGCGACGAUCCAUAGCUGGUCUGAGAGGAUGAUCAGCCACAUUGGGACUGAGACACGGCCCAAACUCCUACGGGAGGCAGCAGUGGGGAAUAUUGGACAAUGGGCGCAAGCCUGAUCCAGCCAUGCCGCGUGAGUGAUGAAGGCCUUAGGGUUGUAAAGCUCUUUCACCGAUGAAGAUAAUGACGGUAGUCGGAGAAGAAGCCCCGGCUAACUUCGUGCCAGCCGCCGCAGUAACAC